rnacentral:rRNA from 1 species
UACGAAGGGGGCUAGCGUUGCUCGGAAUCACUGGGCGUAAAGCGCACGUAGGCGGCUUUCUAAGUCAGGGGUGAAAUCCUGGAGCUCAACUCCAGAACUGCCUUUGAUACUGGAGAGCUUGAGUCCGGGAGAGGGUGAGUGGAACUCCGAGUGUAGAGGUGAAAUUCGAUAGAUAUUCGGAAGAACACCAGUGGCGAAGGCGGCUCACUGGCCCGGUACUGACGCUGAUGUGCGAAGGCGUGGGGAGCAAACAGG